rnacentral:pre_miRNA from 7 species
UGCCAUGAGAAGAUGAAGCUGCCGGAUGAUCUGAUCGCUGGUUUGAGAUGCUUUCAGAUCAUGCUGGCAGCUUCACCUGCUUAUGGC